CCUCACUGAAAACUGAAAUGUCAUCAACCUUCUAGCCCAGCAAGUCACAUUAAGUGACUGCAGGUCCACUUGUUUCCUGUAGAGGCAAGUAGUGAAGGUCAUAUACGUUUAUGUGAACUCAACAAACUCCUUCACUGAGAAAAGUGAUUUUGCCAACCUGAUUUGCGGGCUUUGAUUCCCCAGUGUUGUGUUUUUAGUUUCAUGAGUAAUGGUUACACCUGUUGAAGAUUUCAAAAUGGACAAGAUAUUGAUUCCAGGCAUUUAAAUCUUCCAAGUUCUUUGCAACUUUCAACAUCUCAGAGUUUGGAGAGUGAUUUCACCUGUGGAAUUGCAAGAGGGUGAGGCAGUUCACCUGGACCUCCACCUGGACCUCAGGGGAAAAGAUGAACUCUGGUCUCCAUCUGCUCAGCAGUCCACCUUUGGAAUGCUCUUCUGUUCCCGUCGAGCUCUUGGCCUCAUCCUUCUCGAUUGAUGAUCAGCCAGAUAACGUUAGCUCCCGACCAAUCAGACGCCUGGAUACGUACCUCAUCCCACAGUGUCCCAGAGGUUAAGGCACCGACCAUGAACCUCGAGGAAACGGUGGCAGAGGCCAGCAUCUGUACAGCUGCACGUGGAGAGAAGCCCAUGUCAGAUUCAAGAUUGCUGCAGCGACUUUUCCCACUCCUCUGCAGAAUGCUCUAACUCACUAGUCCUCUAUAAUAACAGACCACUGUACUAUGCUGUCAAUAUAGACACCCUGUCAUGUUACGUCAGCGGUACAGUUUAAAAUUAUAGGCUGAUAUGGCUGUGUAUGUGAGGGGGUGUCAAGCCUCAAUAAAU